UACGUAGGGUGCGAGCGUUGUCCGGAAUUAUUGGGCGUAAAGAGCUCGUAGGCGGUGUGUCGCGUCGGCCGUGAAAACCUGGGGCUUAACUCUGGGCGUGCGGUCGAUACGGGCAUCACUGGAGUUCGGCAGGGGAGACUGGAAUUCCUGGUGUAGCGGUGAAAUGCGCAGAUAUCAGGAGGAACACCGGUGGCGAAGGCGGGUCUCUGGGCCGAUACUGACGCUGAGGAGCGAAAGCAUGGGUAGCGAACAGG
rnacentral:rRNA from 1 species